AAACAUGCUUAAUUUUCGUUAGCUAUGCUGUCUCUUUUUUCAAUGGGCUAUUAUACUUUCAUGUAGAAAAUUAACCAUGGUUUUACUAUAGUUAAAACAAAAACAAAAAACAUAGUAGAACCAUGGUUUUGCUAGUAACCACACCAAAAAAACAUGUUUACACUUUUACCACAAUAAAACCAUGGUAAAUUUUCGUAAGGGCUAUAUGCACAUUGUGUUUUGGGGUAUAUUUAUGCAGAUACAGGCCCAUACAAAUUCUAAACCGUAGACAUUGUGUGUGUGUGUUUGUGUGUGUGUACGUGUAUUGCAAUAAACUCGAAUUAUAUGUGUAUCCUACAGAAAAUGCAGUAUUAAUGCUAAAAAGUGAUUUGUCCUGCAUCAUCACUAUGUUGUAUUCGUUUAAAAAAACGGCGCCAAGAAAGAAAGGACAUGCGCAUUGUUCUCCUGAGCCAGUUAACGUAGAGCUGGUACAUUGCUGUCUUCACUGGAGUGCUGCAAGCUCGAAGUGUGGCUGCAGCACUUCUCGCUCGUAACGUGAAACUUAAAAACACGCCAAGGAGUGGAUGCAAGUGAACUAUCAAUCUACUGAAACAGAAGCGGGAAAUGUAUUCGAAGACGAAAAUGCUCGCGCGACCUGUGCGUCAGACCCGGAUAAACGCACGCGAGCUGACAAAAUCCUGAGUAGCUGUUAUUCAACAUAAACACAUUUCCGCACACAUGAAGAUGGAUGACGAUAGUUCAUCUUAAAAUGAAACUUAUGUUUAUCAGCUUACCCCCAGGCCAUCCAAGAGAUGCUCUUAAGAACAACGCCCUGAUGUCCAAGGUCAACCAGCAAGAAGCUGAGAAGGCACUGCCAAAAUGGUUUACUGGGGCAAGGGACAGAGGAGGACAGAGAGCAUCAAGAAUGCAGAAAAGGAUGUCUGUUUGAGAAAGGUUAAAACUACAGUUGUUGAUUUGAACUGUUGUAGUUCUUUAAUUUUUCUUAAAGGAAAACACAAUCAUUUUUCAAUAUUUACCAUGUUCUUCCCUCAACUUAGAUGAAUUAAUACAAACCUCUCUUUUCUCAAUGUGUGCACUUAAAGGUGGGGUGCACAAUUUCUAAAAAAAAAAACGUUUUGGAAAAGGGAGACAGGCCGACUAUCAAAACACACUUGUAGCCAAUUAGCAGCAUGUCUACUAAAUGACAUCGUUGCCUGGGUUGCGUAUGUGUGGGGCGGGUCUAUCAAAAGAAGGUCCAGAUUCUAUUAGGGUAAGGGUGUGUUUGUUUAGAUGAUUUCAAAUAUCAACAUUGGCUUUCAUGCACCCUGCCUUUAUUUGUUGUAAAGUGUGGCGUGAAUGUGUUAGCAUUUAGCCAAGCACCAUUCAUUCAUUAGGAUCCAAACAGGGAUGAAUUUAAUAGCCACCAAACACUUCCAUGUUUUCCCUAUUCAAAGACUGUUACAUGAGUAGUUACACGAGGAAGUAUGGUAAAAAAUAUAACUAUAUUGUAUGGCGGAAGAGCACUUAGUUUGUAGCACUCGACCUUGGGCACAGUAACAUCAUCACUCCUGACUACUCCCCCUCUUGCUUAAACUACAGUCAACAUAACCAACACGCCUGUACUAAUGUUAGUACAUUGAGCAGACUCUGCGAAAUAUCAAGUUAAGUUUAAGUGUACGCAUUGAGAAAAGAGAGAUAUGUAUUUAUUCGGCUAAGUUGAUGGAAGAACAUAGUAAAAUAUUGAAAAACUGUGUUUGUAAUUAUCUUACUUUCAUUUACUUUUAAGGGCCCCAUUUCAAUAAUUUUUUAAAGGGGCCAUGGCAUGAAAAUCUGACUUUUUCCAUGUUUAAGUACUACAAUUGGGUCCCCAGUGCUUCUAUCAACCUAGAAAAUGUAAAAAAGAUCAACCCAGUAACUUCCAUUC